GUUCACUUGUGCAGCAUAUACUAAUAUUGGAACAAUACACAAAAGGUUAGCAUGGCCCCGGCACGAGAAUAAUGUGCAAAUCCAUGAAAUGUUGUGGAUAAGC
ensembl:snRNA U6 U6 spliceosomal RNA